UUCUUCAACGGCCGCGAUCACACGUGCAAAGGUAGCAUAAUCAAUCGUCCUUUAAUUGUGGACUAGAAUGAAUGGAUAAAUAAAAAUUAAUCUAUAUAAAUUUUACUAAUAAAAAUUUACCUUUAGAUGAAAAGGUCUAAAUCUUAAUAAAAGACCAGAAGACCCUACAGAGCUUUUUCUUAAAUUAAUUUCAUAAUUAUAAAUAAGAUUUGGUUGGGGCAACCAAGGAAUCACUAUCCUUAAAUUUUAACGAUACAUACAUUAAACCUAAUUUAAAUAUAAUUAAGUUACCUUAGGGAUAACAGGCCAAUCUUGUUUCAUAGUCCACAUACACAACAAGGUUUGGCACCUCGAUGUUGGCUUGAGGUUACUUUA
rnacentral:rRNA from 1 species